AGCGAGGUCCGGUGCGGAAAAUAGUUGAUGAACACGAAACCGCGCGUCUGGUCGAUGAUGUGAAACAGUGGGUUCCAGUCAAACAUGUUCAUCAUGAAUGUGGGCAAGGUGUUCACCACGAACAUCUUGCCUGAGGCGAUCAUAUUGGCCCGCUG
rfam:Roseovarius mucosus DSM 17069 Contig283_ParA, whole genome shotgun sequence.